rnacentral:rRNA from 1 species
UACGUAGGGGGCAAGCGUUAUCCGGAUUUACUGGGUGUAAAGGGGGCGCAGACGGCAAUGCAAGCCAGGAGUGAAAGCCCGGGGCCCAACCCCGGGACUGCUCUUGGAACUGCAUGGCUGGAGUACAGGAGGGGCAGGCGGAAUUCCUAGUGUAGCGGUGAAAUGCGUAGAUAUUAGGAGGAACACCGGUGGCGAAGGCGGCCUGCUGGACUGUGACUGACGUUGAGGCCCGAAGGCGUGGGGAGCAGACAGG